CAACAUCCCAGUCAAGCAGUGGACAAACCAAGAGUGAGUCAAGGCCCAAGCAGAUGACUACCUCAGUAGAUCAGCCCAGCACUUCAAGAGAAUUCUACAAUACAUACACAGAUAUAUAUGCACCUGUUGUAAUUGAGAGCAGUUCCUCAGAUUCUGGGGAAGAGGAGAAGUUCCAAGAGGAUCACAG